UACAGAGGUCUCAAGCGUUGUUCGGAUUCAUUGGGCGUAAAGGGUGCGUAGGCGGCGCGGUAAGUCGGGUGUGAAAGCCCACGGCUCAACCGUGGAGGGUCAUUGGAAACUGGGGGACUUGAGUGCAGGAGAGAAGAGUGGAAUUCCACGUGUAGCGGUGAAAUGCGUAGAGAUGUGGAGGAACACCAGUGGCGAAGGCGACUCUUUGGCCUGUAACUGACGCUGAGGCGCGAAAGCGUGGGGAGCAAACAGG
rnacentral:rRNA from 1 species